GACGAAUGCUGGCUGCGUGCUUAACACAUGCAAGUCGAACGGUGAAGGAGGGCUUGCCCUCCGGAUCAGUGGCGAACGGGUGAGUAACACGUGGGCAACCUGCCCCUCACUCUGGGAUAACACCGGGAAACCGGUGCUAAUACCGGAUACGACCAGGCGCGACAUCUCGCCUGGUGGAAAGAAUUUCGGUGAGGGAUGGGCCCGCGGCCUAUCAGCUUGUUGGUGAGGUAACGGCUCACCAAGGCGACGACGGGUAGCCGGCCUGAGAGGGCGACCGGCCACACUGGGACUGAGACACGGCCCAGACUCCUACGGGAGGCAGCAGUGGGGAAUAUUGCGCAAUGGGCGAAAGCCUGACGCAGCGACGCAGCGUGAGGGACGAAGG
rnacentral:rRNA from 1 species